UACAGAGGUGGCAAGCGUUGUUCGGAAUUACUGGGCGUAAAGCGCGUGUAGGCGGCUCUUCAAGUCAGGCGUGAAAGCCCCGGGCUCAACUCGGGAACUGCGCUUGAUACUGUCGAGCUAGAGUGUGGAAGGGGCGAUUGGAAUUCCGUGUGUAGCGGUGAAAUGCGUAGAUAUACGGAGGAACACCAGAGGCGAAGGCGGAUCGCUGGGCCAACACUGACGCUGAGACGCGAAAGCUAGGGUAGCAAACAGG
rnacentral:rRNA from 2 species